rnacentral:rRNA from 1 species
UACAGAGGGUGCGAGCGUUGUUCGGAAUUAUUGGGCGUAAAGGGUGCGUAGGCGGUUUGGUAAGUCUUAUGUGAAAUCUAUGGGCUCAACUCAUAGACUGCAUGAGAAACUGCCGGGCUUGAGUCCGGGAGAGGUGAGUGGAAUUCCCAGUGUAGCGGUGAAAUGCGUAGAUAUUGGGAGGAACACCAGUGGCGAAGGCGGCUCACUGGACCGGAACUGACGCUGAGGCGCGAAAGCGUGGGGAGCAAACGGG